rnacentral:lncRNA from 1 species
ACCUUCGAUGGCUUUUGCUGGCUGACAUUGCUUGCCAUAUUUGCUCUCAACCGCCCCCACUACCGUCACCGCCACGUCCGUUGCUGCCGAUACUGCCGCCGCCGCCGCAAAGCCCUCGAAUAUUUCAGGUUUUCUCUCUCUUCGCGUUUUAGGUUUUUUUGCAGAACAGACCCUAAAUUUGAUUUUGUUUUUAAAAUUAAGUGAAGUUUGAAUUUAUUUAGGGUUCUUAAUCAUAUGUAAUGAUUAUUUUCAUAUGUAGUUUCGAUUUCCUUCACCAUUAAUCUAUAUCUUACGGUUAUUUUACCGAUCUAAUAAACCUGCAUUGAGUACCGAUACCCAUUUUUUAGUUUUGAUUUUUUGUCAUGGGUGUGUGUUUAUUUUAUCGAUUAAAAAAUUAAAAUUGAUUUUUUGGUGUGUUUUUUCUUAAAUCUGCCAUAGGAGUUGAGAUACAAGGCUGGUCGGCAGAGGUUGUAUGGAUUUGCUUUCAUGUGUAAGAUCUCUAAUAUAUAUGGCUAUGUGGGUAAAUAAAUAUAUUCACUUGUUUGUAUUUGAUUUAGGAGAGUUUAAGUUUUCUCUACCAAUUGUGCAGGAAAAGUGCGGGCCUUAUCUCAAGGAGAAGUUCGAGAUAUCCUCAGAACACGUUCUCAUGUGUGGAAACAUUCACAUUACGUUGAAGUUGCUACCUUAACUAGGUAUACAAGGUGAUUGGACAUGAAUUGAGAUUUACUGCUCCUCAUUUUGAAUUAACUAGCCAUAUAAAUAUUUCUCUUUCAAUAUUUUGUCAAUUAUAUGUUCUUUGAAUAACCGUUCAGAUUUUGAUUUGACCAUUUACAUUGUAUACACUAAUAAUCUAGUUAGAAGUUUAAGGCCUGGAGAUUUUGACAGACAUGUCACCGUCGAUAGGCUUGAUGUUGCUCGUAGAGUAAAGAUUCUUCAAUCUUCGGGUCAGUUAUCUCUUAUGGAAACUGUUAUAUACUCCGGCUUAAUCUGCUAUAAGUUUAUAUGCUUUAGUUUGAAAAUCUUUGAAAAUGUAUUGUUGUGCAUAUUUUGUCGAACUUCGAGUUAAUUUAUAUUGUAUUUAU